ACGCACGCUGGCGGCGUGCUUCACCCCUGCAAGUCGCACGGAAAGGCCCUGCUUUUGUGGGGUGCUCGAGUGGCGAACGGGUGAGUAACACGUGAGUAACCUGCCCUUGACUUUGGGAUAACUUCAGGAAACUGGGGCUAAUACCGGAUAGGAGCUCCUGCUGCAUGGUGGGGGUUGGAAAGUUUCGGCGGUUGGGGAUGGACUCGCGGCUUAUCAGCUUGUUGGUGGGGUAGUGGCUUACCAAGGCUUUGACGGGUAGCCGGCCUGAGAGGGUGACCGGCCACAUUGGGACUGAGAUACGGCCCAGACUCCUACGGGAGGCAGCAGUGGGGAAUAUUGCACAAUGGGCGGAAGCCUGAUGCAGCAACGCCGCGUGCGGGAUGACGGCCUUCGGGUUGUAAACCGCUUUCGCCUGUAACGAAGCGUGAGUGACGGUAAUGGGUAAAGAAGCACCGGCUAACUACGUG
rnacentral:rRNA from 1 species